rnacentral:rRNA from 1 species
CCACCUACCUCUCCCACACUCUAGAAAAGUAGUUUCAAAUGCAGUUCUGUAGUUAAGCUACAGGAUUUCACAUCUGACUUACUUUCCCGCCUACGCACUCUUUACGCCCAGUGAUUCCGAGUAACGCUUGCACCCUCCGUAUUACCGCGGCUGCUGGCACGGAGUUAGCCGGUGCUUAUUCGUUAGAUACCGUCAUAAUCUUCUCUAACAAAAGGAGUUUACAAUCCUAAAACCUUCAUCCUCCACGCGGCGUUGCUGCUUCAGGCUUUCGCCCAUUGAGCAAUAUUCCCUACUGCUGCCUCCCGUAGGAGUCUGGACCGUGUCUCAGUUCCAGUGUGUCCGAUCACCCUCUCAGGCCGGAUACCCGUCAUAGCCUUGGUGAGCCUUUA